UCCCUGGUGGCUCAGACAGUUAAGAAUCUGCCUACAAUGCAGGAGACCCGGGUUCGAUUCCUGGAUGGGGAA
rnacentral:tRNA from 1 species